CGUGCAUAUCAAUAAGCGGAACAAAAGGGGCCGCUGCCAUAUCAAUAAGCUGUGUAGCAUACCGCGUGCGCGCGAGUUGUAAUUUGAAGGAGGUAGGCUACGCGCGGCAACGGCCCAAGUCCAUUGGAACAUGGCGCCAGGGAGGGUGAGAGCCCCGUCCGGCCACGCGCCGCGUCCGCAGUCUGCCCCCGACGAGUCGAGUUGUUUGGGAAUGCAGCUCAAAGUGGGUGGUAAAUUCCAUCUAAAGCUAAAUAUUGGCGAGAGACCGAUAGCGAACAAGUACAGUGAUGGAAAGAUGAAAAGCACUUUGAAAAGAGAGUGAAACAGUACGUGAAAUUGUUGAAAGGGAAGGGCUUGCAAGCAGACACGGCUUUUGCCGGGCCAGCAUCGGUUUGGGGAGGCGGACAACCGCGGGAGCAUGUGGCGCACCUCGGUGCGUGUUAUAGCUCCCGUCCAUACGCCUUCCCCAGUCCGAGGCCUGCGUUCUAAACUAGGAUGCUGGCGUAAUGGUUGCAAGCC
rnacentral:rRNA from 1 species